GCCCGCGUGGUGGAAUGGUAGACACCGGGGACUUAAAAUCCCCUGGCUUUGGCCGUGCCGGUUCGAGUCCGGCCGCGGGUACCA
rnacentral:tRNA from 1 species